UACGGAGGGGGCCAGCGUUGUUCGGAAUCAUUGGGCGUAAAGGGCGCGUAGGCGGCUUUGUAAGUCCGUUGUGAAAUCCCUCGGCUCAACCGAGGAACUGCGACGGAUACUGCUUGGCUUGAGUCCCGGAGAGGGUAGCGGAAUUCCCAGUGUAGCGGUGAAAUGCGUAGAUAUUGGGAGGAACAUCGGUGGCGAAGGCGGCUCCUGGACCUGUUCUGACACUGAGGAGCGAAAGCGUGGGGAGCGAAUCCGG
rnacentral:rRNA from 1 species